rnacentral:rRNA from 1 species
GAGAAACUGGGUAUAAUCCCCGAUAGAUCUCGGUCGCUGGAAGCCGGGACCGAGCUCCGGCGCCAGAGGAUGGGUCUGCGGCCUAUCAGGGAGUAGUGGGUGUAGCGUACCUACUAGCCUACGACGGGUACGGGUUGUGAGAGCAAGAGCCCGGAUAUGGAUUCUGAGACACGAAUCCAGGCCCUACGGGGUGCAGCAGGCGCGAAAACUUUACAAUGCCGGCAACGGCGAUAAGGGGACCUCGAGUGCCAGGUUACAAAUCUGGCUGUCGUGAUGCCUAAAAAGCAUUGCAUAGCAAGGGCCGGGCAAGACCGGUGCCAGCCGCCGCGGUAACACCGGCGGCUCGAGUGGUAACCGUUAUUAUUGGGUCUAAAGGGUCUGUAGCCGGCCGGAUAAGUCUCUUGAGAAAUCCAGCAGCUCAACUGUUGGGCUUUCAGGAGAUACUGUCUGGCUCGAGGCCGGGAGAGGUGAGAGGUACUUCAGGGGUAGGGGUGAAAUCUUGUAAUCCUUGAAGGACCACCAGUGGCGAAGGCGUCUCACCAGAACGGACCUGACGGCAAGGGACGAAAGCUAGGGGCACGAACCGGAUUAGAUACCCGGGUAGUCCCAGCCGUAAACGAUACUCGCUAGGUGUCGGCCACGGUGCGACCGUUGUCGGUGCCGUAGGGAAGCCGUGAAGCGAGCCACCUGGGAAGUACGGCCGCAAGGCUGAACUUAAAGGAAUUGGCGGGGG